CCCUUCGGCCUAACACAUGCAAGUCGAACGGGCGUAGCAAUACGUUAGUGGCGCACGGGAGAGUAACGCGUGGGAACCUUCCUUUUGGUUCGGGAUAACACCGGGAAACUGGUGCUAAUACCGGAUAAGCCCCUUGGGGGAAAGAUUUAUCGCCGAAAGAUGGGCCCGCGUUGGAUUAGCUAGUUGGUGAGGUAAUGGCUCACCAAGGCGACGAUCCAUAGCUGGUCUGAGAGGAUGAUCAGCCUCACUGGGACUGAGACACGGCCCAGACUCCUACGGGAGGCAGCAGUGGGGAAUAUUGGACAAUGGGGGCAACCCUGAUCCAGCCAUGCCGCGUGAAUGAUGAAGGCCUUCGGGUUGUAAAGUUCUUUUGCAGGGGACGAUGAUGACGGUACCCUGAGAAUAAGCUCCGGCUAACUUCGUGCCAGCAGCCGCGGUAAUACGAAGGGGGCUAGCGUUGUUCGGAAUUACUGGGCGUAAAGGGCGCGUAGGCGGUUUAGCAAGUUGGAUGUGAAAGCCCAGGGCUCAACCCUGGAAUUGCAUUCAAGACUGCUUUACUUGAAUUCGGUAGAGGUGAGUGGAAUUCCCAGUGUAGAGGUGAAAUUCGUAGAGAUUGGGAAGAACACCGGUGGCGAAGGCGGCUCACUGGACCGACAUUGACGCUGAGGCGCGAAAGCGUGGGGAUCAAACAGGAUUAGAUACCCUGGUAGUCCACGCCGUAAACGAUGCAUGCUAGACGUUGGAAACUUCGGUUUCUUGUGUCGCAGCUAACGCACUAAGCAUGCCGCCUGGGGAGUACGGCCGCAAGGUUGAAACUCAAAUGAAUUGACGGGGGCCCGCACAAGCGGUGGAGUAUGUGGUUUAAUUCGACGCAACGCGAAGAACCUUACCAGCCUUUGACAUGUCCACUAUGGAUUUGAGAGAUCAGGUCCUUCACUUCGGGUGGGUGGAACACAGGUGCUGCAUGGCUGUCGUCAGCUCGUGUCGUGAGAUGUUGGGUUAAGUCCCGCAAUGAGCGCAACCCUCAUCUUCAGUUGCCCCCGGGUCAGGCCGGGCACUCUGAAG
rnacentral:rRNA from 1 species